ensembl:lincRNA
AUCAUCUCUUUCACUUUCUCUCCUCUCUCUCUCUCAUCAGAUUUAUCAGUCUGUCAUCUAUCUAUCUGUCCCACUGGUUUGAUUUUUCUGGAGAAUCCUGCCUACUAUAUCUCUCAAUUUAUUAUUGACAAACUUCCCACUAUUAUGAAAGUUCCAUAAAGGCAAUUUGACUUUAUAACCCUGGUGGCCAGAUGGGCCCUUAAAAAUCAUACAGAUGAUAUUUGCUGAGUGAAAGUAUCUCCUUGGGGGAACCCUGAUGCAUUUAUGUGUUCUCGGGUGGCACUGAAGGGACAACAUAUGUCAGCUCGGGAAACAGCGUCUCCUUGGGUGAGUGGUGAAACUUGUCCCGUUGUUGCAAAAAAUAAAAGGGAAGAGAAUUUUUAGGAGUCAAAGCAUAUUAUUACUUGAAGUGGAAGUUUAUAUAAAUUCUGCUAAAAAGCAGGGAUAAUCUAUCCAUGAGUUUUAAAUAUCACUUGUAGAUAUUUGGAAAUCAUGUACGUUGAUAAAGAAAAAUGAGACUCUUACCCCGAAGCUUUGGCCAGGGCUGGAAUCUCCAAUCAUAAACGGUUCUGUUGCCCUGGAGAUCAUCCGUCUUGACCAUGUCAUUCAGCAGAAAGCAAACUGCAGAGAGAACAGUGUCGGUCACGACUACAGAUCUCGGUUGUACAGAAACCAUUGCCGCAGCUGUGGGCACUAUGGACGUGAGCCGAGAGGCUCAUGCAACACGCCUGUGACCUGCGCAUUCCAUGACAAAAUCACCAUGUCUCACCGCAGUGCGUUGCUAUGAUAAAACAGGUAGUCCUCUCCUGGGAGCAGUCUCACAAAGUUUUGAAAAAAAAAAAAAAAAAAUCAGGUGAGAAAUAUAUCCUGCCUGACUUACUGACUGGGCUGAACAGAGUCAGGGUCCAAUCAGGAAAUGCACUAUUUUUCUCUCGCGCUGCCUUUAGACAGGCUCUUUCUGGUCCCCGCUGGCAGCUGGCCUAUGUACUUUCAGCGGUGAGCUGUCAGGAGUUGGACGUCCAGCCCAGUGUAACCCAAAACUGCCCCUCGGCUCCAAUACCAGCCACUCGUCUCCUUCCCCUCCUGCCUGGAAGCUGUGGUUCAGGAAUCUGCGGUGGGGUCAGGUGCCGUGGGACAACGAAUGGGAAGAAGGGGAGACAGAAAAGGGACAAUGUUCUCUUCACGGGGAUGGCGGUGUUUCUCCUCCGGGCAGUGUCACAUCGCCCUCUGUGAGGUGGACCCCCCAGGGCUGGCUCUUGGGAGGCAUAUUAGCAGAUCCUCAGAGAAGCCCAAUGGGGAGCUCUGCCCUGCGCUCUCCCGACCCCUCCCACCUUCACCUCACUGCAUUUCCUGCUUGCCUGUCACAACUGCUGCCCCUCCCCCCCCCUGCUCUCUUCAAGGUCUCUUCACCCUUGGUGGCCGGGGUGGGGGCCCGUUGAAGCUCGCUCAUGCUCAGUCACCUGCCACAGAACGCUUUGUCCCUGCAACUCGUGCUUCCUGCCCGCUCCUCCUCAAAUGGGGCAAGUACGGCCGGUUGGACACCUGCGCCCUGUAGCCUCUGGCCUCCAGCACCCAGUGGGUGGCUUCAGGAUCUUCUAGCUGGGAAGCCGGCACCCCAGAGUGCUUCUCCGCGGAGCCGCCCUCACCCGCUUUGGCGACAUUACUGCCCAGCUUCCCCAGCGGCAGGGCUGCACGGGGAGGGUGCAUCCCAAUUCUGCACCCCCGAGGGUGCGCCCCCCACCCUUCCCCUUUGACUAAGCACCAACCCGUUCUCCGUCCAGGCCUGGGGAGGCACCUGUGCCGUGGUUUUACCUGAUCAUCUGAGUUUCAGCAUUUGCACAAGUAAUAGAUUUUAAUUUUAUUUUUUUUAAAGGAAGCCUUCCAACUGCAUAUACUAAGCUUCACAGUUUCCUGAGGGAAACUGCUCCGACAGAGUGGUUGUCCUCCCCGACAAUUCAAGGAACACCAAGGGUGGCAGAAUAAAAUGGGACAGGCAGCCCUCGACCUGCCAGUUUGGUUAGAAACUGGCUUUCAGGGCUCCAUUUGAUCGGGCCAUACAUUAAGUUAAAAUCUGCGGAAGCGUGUUUUGCCCUCAUUAUUCAAGGUGACUCCAGGGUCAGUGGAACACAUACCUGUUGAUCUAUCUAGUCUAUCAACACAGACACUUUAAAAAAUGAAGUGAGAGCAUACACGUAUUUCUUCAAUUUUCUUCUUAUGGAACACAUUACAGGCAUUUCCUUGUCUCUCUCUGUAUAAAUCUCAUUCUGCUUACCAUCAGAGCGCAUGAUAAUUUUUAGUCCCUAUUAACUGACAUUUAGGUUAUUCUAAUUUUUCUUUAUUAUAAACAUACUUUUAUGUAAUGUUACUGUCCAGAAAGGUUAUACAUGCACUCACCGGGACUGCGCGACAAUACCCAUCUACCCCUGAGAAGGACAGGUGCUAUAAAUCCUCAUUUUUGCCAAAUGUAGAGGCUCCAAACUUCUUACCUCCUCCCUUCAGUCCGAAAAAAUAAAUUAUAAAUGAAGUUGAACAUCUUUACCUAUGUAUAUUCACGUUUUAACUUAUUUAAUUUCUUCUAUAGCGAAUUAAUACUUUAUAUUCUUCUAUCUUUUAGUUUUGACUCUGGAUGCC